AGCUCUGCAGUGUUAGGCACGUUAGAUUGCAAAUCUAAAAGCGCGGGUUAACGCCUGCCGGGGCUU
rnacentral:tRNA from 1 species